GGACAGAUGGCCGAGUGGUUGAAGGCGCACGCCUGGAAAGUGUGUAUACGGGUGACCGUAUCGCGAGUUCGAAUCUCGCUCUGUCCGCCA
rnacentral:tRNA from 1 species